rnacentral:rRNA from 1 species
GAUGAACGCUGGCGGCGUGCCUAAUACAUGCAAGUCGAGCGAAGCGGGGACGGGGGAGUAACACGUGGAUAACCUCCUAUAAGACUGGGAUAACAUCGGGAAACCGGAGCUAAACCGGAUGCUUAUAGCUGGAUCCGCGCUGCAUUAGCUAGUUGGUAAGGUAACGGCUUACCAAGGCAACGAUGCAUAGCCUACCUGAGAGUGGUAGCGGCCACACUGUAACUGAGACACGGUCCAGAGUCCUACGGGAGGCAGCAGUAGGGAAUCUUCCGCAAUGGGCGAAAGCCUGACGGAGCAACGCCUCGUGAGUGGUGCAGGUCUCCGGAUCGUAAAACUCUGGUAUUAGGGAAGCGGUACCGAAUCAGAAAGCCACGGCUAACGACGUGCCAGCAGCCGCGGGAAUUC